rnacentral:lncRNA from 1 species
UAUUUGAAUGUGGUGAAGAAUUCAUCUUGAUUGAUUUUAACUUAUGUACAUCAUCAACUCAGGAGUAGUCUGGCCCUUCCAUAAAUCUCUUUGGAAAGUUCACGUGCCUCCAAAAAAAACCAAUACUUUCAUGUGGCUAGGGUUGUUCAUUAGAUUGCAUGCACUGAAAAUCCUUGCCAAGAAGGAUUUAUGGACGGUGCUCCUUAUGCGACUCUAAUACCAAGCCGAUAAACCAACUCCUUGUCUUAUUCUGUUGGU